rnacentral:pre_miRNA from 1 species
CGGGUGGAUCACGAUGCAAUUUUGAUUAGACUAAUAGGAGAAAAAUUGCACGGUAUCCAUCUGUA